AUACGUAAGUCCCAAGCAUUACCCGGAAUCACUGGGUGUAAAGGGUUCGUAGGUGGAAGAAUAAGUUGGAUAUGAAAGACCGAAGCUUAACUUCGCGUUUGUGUUCAAAACUGGUUUUCUAGAAUCAGGGAGAGGUAAGCGGAAUUUUAAGUGUAGGGGUGCAAUCCGUAGAUACUUAAAAGAACACCAAAAGCGAAGGCAGCUUACUGGAACUGUAUUGACACUGAGGAACGAAAGCGUGGGUAGCUAAAAGGAUUAGAAACCCUAGUAGUCC
rnacentral:rRNA from 1 species